rnacentral:piRNA from 1 species
UGAGCUGGGCCACAUGAGGAGAGAAGGU